UACAGAGGUGCUCAAGCGUUGUUUCGGAUUCAUUGGGCGUAAAGGGUGUGUAGGUGGCGCCGUAAGUCGGGUGUGAAAAUUUCGGAGCUUAACUCCGAAACUGCAUUCGAUACUGCGGUGCUUGAGGACUGGAGAGGAGACUGGAAUUUACGGUGUAGCAGUGAAAUGCGUAGAGAUCGUAAGGAAGACCCAGUGGCGAAGGCGGGUC
rnacentral:rRNA from 1 species